rnacentral:rRNA from 1 species
UGGGGAAUUUUGGACAAUGGGCGAAAGCCUGAUCCAGCAAUGCCGCGUGUGUGAAGAAGGCCUUCGGGUUGUAAAGCACUUUUGUCCGGAAAGAAAUGGCUCUGGUUAAUACCUGGGGUCGAUGACGGUACCGGAAGAAUAAGGACCGGCUAACUACGUGCCAGCAGCCGCGGUAAUACGUAGGGCUCCAAGCGUUAUCGGAAUUACUGGGCGUAAAGCGUGCGCAGGCGGUUGUGCAAGACCGAUGUGAAAUCCCCGAGCUUAACUUGGGAAUUGCAUUGGUGACUGCACGGCUAGAGUGUGUCAGAGGGGGGUAGAAUUCCACGUGUAGCAGUGAAAUGCGUAGAGAUGUGGAGGAAUACCGAUGGCGAAGGCAGCCCCCUGGGAUAACACUGACGCUCAUGCACGAAAGCGUGGGGAGCAAACAGGAUUAGAUACCCUGGUAGUCCACGCCCUAAACGAUGUCAACUAGUUGUUGGGGAUUCAUUUCCUUAGUAACGUAGCUAACGCGUGAAGUUG